ensembl:lncRNA
AUGAAACAGAAUGCGUUGGUGAAACUCAUGCAUCUAGCAGGAACACAAUCUCGUUAUAACGACUUAAUUUUCUCGUUAUCUCGACAUAACGAAAGUCGUUUUCUCGUUAUAGCGACUUAUUUUUCUCGUUAUCUCGACAUAACGAAAGUUUGUUUUCUCGUUAUAACGACAUGAAAGUUUUACUGUUGCUAUAGUAACGAACUCAACUUUGACAGGCAUCUGAUGGACAGCCAUGCAGGCGCUCUUACUGUAGCCUAUAUUUCAGCAAAUUUUGCUUCACCUAGGUAAUAAUAACGUCUACAAUACUGUAUAAAUAAAGGCUGAUCAAUCACUGUUGAUUUUUUCCAGAGACAGUACAACGAACGUUUUGUUUUUGUAAUUAACAUGUUUAAAUGGCAACACCGCGCCAUUAGAGCUGCUUGGAUUAAACUCACUUUUAAUUUUCCCUUUAUAUGAAAUAAAAUUAUAUAUAAUUUGUAAUUUGUAGUAGUCAUUAUGUGGCAGAUAUCAUGUGUGUUACAAGCUUCUGUUUGAAAAAGAGCGUUCAUGUGUACGUGUAGUGUAUGUGUGUGUGUGUAGAAAAAAACCAUUACAACAUUACAGAACAAAAACUGAAUUAAAUUAGCCUAUGGAUUUUACAUAUACAUCACAUUUCUCAUCAAUAUGGUUAACAAUAAAGAUUAGUAAUAAGGAAAAGAAGCACAUCAGCCUACAUCGUUAAAUCCCGUCCUACUGUAGAUAAACAGAACAUCUCCGCUUAUUAACUACCUAAUCAUUAAAUUAAAAUUAAUUUUAAAUUAAUCAUGAGCCUAAAAGAAGCACAAAUAUAAUAUAUAUUGGUGCAAACAGAAUACAGUGAUGUCAACCUUGGUUUUGAUAAGCAGUUAUUGAUGAAACAGAAUGCGUUGGUGAAACUCAUGCAUCUAGCAGGAACUUAAUACACAAAAUAUUCAUAUUGAUUCAAGCAUUUAACAUUUUUGAAUUAAUUAAAUGUCAGUAAUAAACAAGACUGCACAAAUUAUAGCGAUCACGAGGAAGGUCCGCGUACAGUAAAGUGGAUAGUAUACAACACCCCAUCAGUUAUAUUCAGGUCUAUAGUGCCACCUGCUGGUGCAGUUUUGUAAAUUCUUAGAGAAAAUUAAGUCGUUAUAACGAGAAAACGAACUUCGUUAUGUCGAGAUAACGAGAAAAUUAAGUCGUUAUAACGAGAAAACGAACUUCGUUAUGUCGAGAUAACGAGAAAAUUAAGUCGUUAUAACGAGAAAACAAAAAGAAAAAAAAUUAUAAUGCAUGGCCGCUUAGAACUUCCGUAAGUAGUAGUAAAUCUAAUAAUAAUAAAAAUGUGUUAUCAAUGAAAAAUACAUAUAAGUUUUGAAUUAAAAAUCUGUUAAUGUCUUAAGUUUCAUUGCAUUUAAACUUUGACCUUGGUGAAGCACAGUUCCUAAUGAAGGUCUAAUAUAAUCCAUAUCAUUACCAUACUAACGAUCAUAACCAUCUCCUCACUUCCCUCAGACAUGACAUUUUCUGACACGACUGUGUCAGAAACGACUGUGGUAAUACAUUCCAGAUCUGUUCCUCACACCAGGGUUUUUCAGUUAUUCCAGUCGGCAAAGAAUGUCAGAUCGUCAGAGAAAAUACCACGGUAAUUAAACUGAUGGAUGCUUAUAUUCCUGGAGUGACUUUCCACUCCCAUUUAAAUAUCAGCUCUUUUAAUAUGGCCUCUCCGCAAAGCUGAAGAGCAGAAGGUUGGUGGUGAUUUUUAUAUGUGGUUUUUCAUUGCCCUCUCACCCUGGAUUCCUUCUUUAAAUGAGGUGCAGCUAAAAAAGAUUAAUUCAGCACUCUUUCAUCAAGAUGUGAUGAGUGUUUUUUUAAGUGAGUUAGGGUGGCUAUUUUGAAGCAUAUAUUGCAGUACACAUAUUAAGUUGUGGAGUAAAACAAAAAUACAUAUUUACCAGCCAUAUCAAAAGAUGUGUUUUUUGGAAAUAUUUAGACAUUUUGUAUAUGGUAAUUUACAUUCUUUCUUGUUUAGCUUAACUUUAAUUUAUGAUUCAUUAUUAUUAUAGUUAUUUGUAUUAUUUAUGAACAUCAUUUUACAGUCACCAGUACAUUCAUACAUUUGGCAGAUGGUUUUUACCCACAAGGAGAUACAUUUUAUCAGUUAAUCAUUCAUACGUUCCCU